UUCUAUACUUAGGUCAGAAUAGAUGUCAAUUUGUCAGAAAUACGUGAUCAUUAGAUGAGAGCCUUUUUGAUGAGAUUUCUAGCUGAAUAUGAUUUUGAAACUUUAGUUAAACCAUUUUCAACAGGCUGUCUUGAGGAAAUUUCAUCUAGUAAAAGUCUACCUUCCAACUUAUCAAUCGGAUUAUUUACUCAGGAACUAUCAGAUUCUAUAUAGGUAUGUAAUUUGUGAAAAUGUCUUGUAAGAAAAUUUUAGCUGAAAUCAGAUUCAGAGAUUUCUUCAAUUGUAGUUAACUAGUACAUAGUUAGAAUUAACCAGAUUUCUUUAAUUGUAGGGGCAGGACAAGUAUGGGGCUUUAAAAGCCAGAAGGAUUUCUUCUCUGAAUUAGGUUUCUUGUCGGUAAUCACUGCUGCUUUUCACAACAUAUGAAAGAAGAUGUGUAAUGUGUAAUUACAGACAAUUGAAAUCUAGAAACAGAUUGAAUAAGGCACGGAAUGCUUUUAAAGGUGUGAUGUUCCAACGGUAAUGUAUCUGAUAAAGAAAAAAAGGUGGGAGUUAAAUUGAUGACAAGAACUAGUAACACUUAAAAGGCAAGUAUAGCCGAUUCAUUAUUAAAGCAACACUUCUACUGGCAUGUAGCAAAAAUCUUCAAUUCUAUGGCCUUUUAACUUCAAGCUGUACUUUUGUUGAGUAGGUUGUCUUGAGGCAGAAUAAUGUACUGCAAAUUAGGUACUGUUAAGCGGUUCAGUGAAGACUUGUGUCAAUAGAUGAAGAUAUUCUUGUAGUCCAUUGUCUAGAAUUGAUCUCCUGCCCUGCAAGGUAAAAACUUCUCACUGCUGAUGUGACAAUAGAACUUUUGUUAUGGUUCUCUGAAUUUAUGAUUGUUUUAGAGAACUGUAAUUGAGGUUUCCUUUAUUCAGCAGUAGGAAGUUUUUAUUCUACCCACUGAUGACAC
rnacentral:lncRNA from 1 species